GUGUAACAACUCACCUGCCGAAGCAACUAGCCCUGAAAAUGGAUGGCGCUCUAGCGUCGUGCCUAUACCGGGCCGUCAACGGCACAGUGGGUGUCUGUCCUUUGGGCAGAGCCGUUAAGCCUUGACGAGUAGGAGGGUCGCGGCGGUGUGCGCAGAAGGGUCAGGGCGUGAGCCCGCCUGGAGCCGCCGUCGGCGCAGAUCUUGGUGGUAGUAGCAAAUACUCUAGCGAGGGCCUGGAGGACUGACGUGGAGAAGGGUUUCUUGUGAACAGCCGUUGCACAAGAGUCAGUCGACCCUAAGCUCUAGGAGAAAUCCGAUGGCGAUGGGUGGCUAACAACGUACUUUAAACCACGUUGUGUGUUUUUCUUUAUGCCCCUGGCGGGCAAAAGGGAGUCCGGUUCCUAUUCCGGAACCCGGCUGCGUGACCGCAACUCAGCGGGCACUCGCCUGCGAGCGCUCGUCGGGGUAACCCAAACUGGCCCGGAGACGCCGGCGGGGGGUCUGGAAAGAGUUUUCUUUUCUUUAUAAGCGUUCGAGUACCCUGGAAUCCUAUAGCAGGGAGAUAGGGUUUGGAACGCGAAGAGCACCGCAGUUGCGGCGGUGUCCGGACCUUCCCCCCGGACCUUGAAAAUCCGGGUGAGGGCUACGCGGAAGUCGCGCCGGGUCGUACCCAUAUCCGCAGCAGGUCUCCAAGGUUAAGAGCCUCUAGUCGAUAGAAUAAUGUAGGUAA
rnacentral:rRNA from 1 species